rnacentral:lncRNA from 1 species
CAACACGGCGCUGCUCCGCCGCCCGCCGCCCCUUAUAAAGCCCCGGCGGCACAACGUGGCCGGGGGGGCGGCCUCCCCCCGGCCCUUCCCCUGCUCCGCCUCCCCGGCUCCUCCCCUCCCUCCCUCGCUUCCCCCCUGCCCCGGCUCCCCCCUUCCCUCCCCGGCUCCCCCCUUCGCUCCCCAGCCCCUGCUCCCCGCUCCCGACCCCCCCCCAAAUCCCCGCUGCCCCCUCCCCGCUGCGCCCCUGCCCCCGUCCCCAUUCCCCUGCGCCCCCGCUCCCCCUUCCCCUCCCCCGGCUCCCUUCUCCCCCUCCCUUACAUCGCCGCUCUUUCUCUUCUUUUUCUCUUUUCCUUUUUCCCCUUUCCUUUCUUUUCUUUAUUUCCUCUCUUUACUUUCAUUUUCCUUUCUUUUCUUUCCUUUUCCUUUCCUUUCUUUCCUCUUCAUUUCUUUUGUUUCAUUUUGCUUUUCCUUUAUUUUUUCCCUUUUCUUUCUUUUCUUUCUUUCAUUUUCCUUUCUUUUAUUCUAUUUCCCUUUCCUUUUCUUUUCUUUCCUUUUCCUAUCCCUUUCUUUCCCUUUUCCUUUCCUCCUUUUUAUUUUUUUUUUUACCUUUUCCUUCCCCCCUUCCACCCCUCCCACUCCCGCAGAGGCCAUGGCGGAGCGCAGCGCCCGGCGGAGCCCGCAGGGUUAUGGAAAGACAACAGAAUGAAGAGGAUUGUGCAGAUAAUGCAAUGCAGUUGGUUGGAGCUAUUAAAAACUGUUUGUUAGUUUAAUGGGGUUUCUCUGGAUGACUGUGGGAAGGACCUGCAGGGACAGAGAAG